rnacentral:rRNA from 1 species
GGUCAAUGCUAUCGGGGUCCGACUAAGCCAUGCGAGUUGUGUGUUCUUUGUGAGCACGGCGGACUGCUCAGUAACACGUGGACAAUCUGCCCUUGGGUCUGGGAUAACUCCGGGAAACUGGAGAUAAUACCAGAUAGGUCAUAGAUGCUGGAAUGCUCUAUGGCCCAAAGCUCCGGCGCCCAAGGAUGAGUCUGCGGCCUAUCAGGUUGUAGUGGGCGUAAUGGACCCACUAGCCUACGACGGGUACGGGUUGUGAGAGCAAGAGCCCGGAGAUGGAUUCUGAGACAUGAAUCCAGGCCCUACGGGGCGCAGCAGGCGCGAAACCUUUACAAUGCGCGCAAGCGCCGAAUAAGGGGACCUCGAAGUUGUUUCCUACCUAGUUAGGAACUGUUCCAGUUGUCUAAAAAACAACUGUUAGCAAGAGCCGGGCAAGACCGGUGCCAGCCGCCGCGGUAACACCGGCGGCUCGAGUGGUGACCGCUUUUAUUGGGUCUAAAGGGUCUGUAGCCGGUCUAACAAGUUCUUUGGAAAAUCUGGUCGCUUAACGAUCAGGCUGCUAGGGGAUACUGUUAGACUUGGGACCGGGAGAGGCUAGAGGUACUUUAAGGGUAGGGGUGAAAUCCUGUGAUCCUUAAAGGACCACCAGUGGCGAAGGCGUCUAGCUAGAACGGAUCCGACGGUGAGGGACGAAAGCUGGGGGCACGAACCGGAUUAGAUACCCGGGUAGUCUCAGCCGUAAACGAUGCGAGCUAGGUGUCAGUUUUACUGCGAGUAAAAUUGGUGCCGUAGGGAAGCCGUGAAGCUCGCCACCUGGGAAGUACGGCCGCAAGGCUGAAACUUAAAGGAAUUGGCGGGGGAGCACUACAACGGGUGGAGCCUGCGGUUU